rnacentral:rRNA from 1 species
AAGGGUCUGUAGGUGGUUCGUUAAAGUCAGAUGUGAAAGCCCAGGGCUCAACCUUGGAACUGCAUUUGAUACUGGCAAACUAGAGUAUGGUAGAGGAAUGGGGAAUUUCUGGUGUAGCGGUGAAAUGCGUAGAGAUCAGAAGGAACACCAAUGGCGAAGGCAACAUUCUGGACCAAUACUGACACUGAGGGACGAAAGCGUGGGGAUCAAACAGGAUUAGAUACCCUGGUAGUCCACGCUGUAAACGAUGAGUACUAGCUGUUGGAUUCGGUGUAAAGGAUCUAGUGGCGUAGCUAACGCGUUAAGUACUCCGCCUGGGGACUACGGCCGCAAGGCUAAAACUCAAAGGAAUUGACGGGGACCCGCACAAGCGGUGGAGCAUGUGGUUUAAUUCGAUGCAACGCGAAGAACCUUACCUGGUCUUGACAUCCUGCGAACUUUCUAGAGAUAGAUUGGUGCCUUCGGGAACGCAGUGACAGGUGCUGCACGGCUGUCGUCAGCUCGUGUUGUGAAAUGUUGGGUUAAGUCCCGCAACGAGCGCAACCCCUAUUGAUAGUUACCAUCAUUAAGUUGGGUACUCUAUUGAGACUGCCGCUGACAAGGCGGAGGAAGGUGGGGACGACGUCAAGUCAUCAUGGCCCUUACGACCAGGGCUACACACGUGCUACAAUGGGUAUUACAGAGGGCAGCGAAGUAGCGAUAUGGAGCGAAACUCAGAAAGGUACUCUUAGUCCGGAUUGCAGUCUGCAACUCGACUGCAUGAAGUCGGAAUCGCUAG